rnacentral:rRNA from 1 species
UACGUAGGGAGCAAGCGUUGUCCGGAAUUAUUGGGCGUAAAGGGCUCGUAGGCGGUCUGUCGCGUCGGGAGUGAAAACUCAGGGCUUAACCCUGAGCCUGCUUCCGAUACGGGCAGACUAGAGGUAUGCAGGGGAGAACGGAAUUCCUGGUGUAGCGGUGGAAUGCGCAGAUAUCAAGAGGAACACCUGCGGCGAAGGCGGGUUGCUGGGCCGACACUGACGCUGAUGCGCGAAAGCUAGGGGAGCGAACAGG